rnacentral:rRNA from 1 species
AGCUCCAAUAGCGUAUAUUAAUGUUGCUGCAGUUAAAAAGCUCGUAGUUGGAUCUGAGGACUCGAAUUGGUGGUGCAGCAAACGCUGUUACUGCCGAUUCGGCCUACCUAGUCGGUGCUCGCUCUUGGUGCUCUUAAUUGAGUGCCCUGAGUGCCCGACAUGUUUACUUUGAAAAAAUUAGAGUGCUCAAAGCAGGCCAUUAGCCGGAAUACUUCAGCAUGGAAUAAUGGAAUAGGACUUCGGUUCUAUUUUGUUGGUUUUCGGAACCCGAGGUAAUGAUUAAGAGAGACAGACGGGGGCAUUCGUACUGCGGUGUUAGAGGUGAAAUUCUUGGAUCGCCGCAAGACGAACAACUGCGAAAGCAUUUGCCAAGAAUGUUUUCA